AUUGAACGCUGGCGGCAGGCUUAACACAUGCAAGUCGAGCGGGGUGAUGGUGCUUGCACUAUCACUUAGCGGCGGACGGGUGAGUAAUGCUUAGGAAUCUGCCUAUUAGUGGGGGACAACAUCUCGAAAGGGAUGCUAAUACCGCAUACGUCCUACGGGAGAAAGCAGGGGAUCUUUUUGACCUUGCGCUAAUAGAUGAGCCUAAGUCGGAUUAGCCAGUUGAUGGGGCAAAGGACUACCAAGGCGACGAUCUGUAGCGGGUCUGGGAGGAUGAUCCGGCAACCGGGGACUGAGACACGGCCCAGGUUGCUACGGUAGGUAGCAGUGGGGAAUAUUGGACAAUGGGGGGAACCCUGAUCCAGCCAUGCCGCGUGUGUGAAGAAGGUCUUAUGGUUGUAAAGCACUUUAAGCGAGGAGGAGGCUCUUUUGGUUAAUGCCCAGAAUGAGUGAACGUUACUCGCAGAAUAAGUACCGGCUAACUCUGUGCCAGCCGCAGCGGUAA
rnacentral:rRNA from 1 species